ensembl:lincRNA Gm9866 predicted gene 9866
AUGGAGCUGAGACACUUACUGCCCAUGCCAAGCAGUGCCAAGCACCUCUGGAAGCCCCUGCCUAGGACCCCCAAAUUUAGAUUCAUGCUGCAGUCUGGAGAGUGUUUUGACGGCUGCCGGGCUACAGGGAAAAGCGCACUGCACACUGCCUCUGAGAUGAGACAGAGCUCUCCAGGCUGGGAGUCUGAGGAAGCCGGCCGGAAACACAUAUUCUGCUUUCUGCAGGGAAAAGCGGAGCCCUGUUCAGCAUUGGUCAUCAGGUUACAGGGGCAUCACUUCCUUUAUCCAGCAUCCUGCCUCCACACCAUGUGAAGAAACCAACCCACUUUCCAAUGGCAAACCCAAGUUCAUGCAGACCAUAUUCUCCAACGUCUGUACUUCCCCUACCAGUUGGAUCUGUGUUCUUUUGCAGUUCUGGGCACUUUUCAAGACUCUACUGACUAAAUCUGCAAAGAGUGUCGAUAAUGCGACUCAUAAGCUGGCUUUCUGA